rnacentral:rRNA from 1 species
GACGAACGCUGGCGGCGUGCUUAACACAUGCAAGUCGAACGGAAAGGCCCUGCUUUUGUGGGGUGCUCGAGUGGCGAACGGGUGAGUAACACGUGAGUAACCUGCCCUUGACUUUGGGAUAACUUCAGGAAACUGGGGCGAAUACCGGAUAGGAGCUCCUGCUGCAUGGGGGGGGUUAGAAAGUUUCGGCGGUUGGGGAUGGACUCGCGGCUUAUCAGCUGGUUGGUGGGGUAGUGGCUUACCAAGGCUUUGACGGGUAGCCGGCCUGAGAGGGUGACCGGCCACAGUGGGACUGGGAUACGGCCCAGAGUCCUACGGGAGGAAGCAGUGGGGAAUAGUGCACAAUGGGCGGAGGCCGGAUGGAGGAUCGCCGCGUGGGGGAUGACGGUCUUCGGGGUGUAAACCGCUUUCGCGUGUGACGAAGCGUGAGGGACGGUAAUGGGUAAAGAAGCACCGGCUAACUACGU